GCGUGCCUAAUACAUGCAAGUCGAGCGAACAGACGAGGAGCUUGCUCCUCUGACGUUAGCGGCGGACGGGUGAGUAACACGUGGAUAACCUACCUAUAAGACUGGGAUAACUUCGGGAAACCGGAGCUAAUACCGGAUAAUAUAUUGAACCGCAUGGUUCAAUAGUGAAAGACGGUUUUGCUGUCACUUAUAGAUGGAUCCGCGCCGCAUUAGCUAGUUGGUAAGGUAACGGCUUACCAAGGCAACGAUGCGUAGCCGACCUGAGAGGGUGAUCGGCCACACUGGAACUGAGACACGGUCCAGACUCCUACGGGAGGCAGCAGUAGGGAAUCUUCCGCAAUGGGCGAAAGCCUGACGGAGCAACGCCGCGUGAGUGACGAAGGUCUUCGGAUCGUAAAACUCUGUUAUUAGGGAAGAACAAAUGUGUAAGUAACUAUGCACGUCUUGACGGUACCUAGUCAGAAAGCCACGGCUAACUACGUGCCAGCAGCCGCGGUAAUACGUAGGUGGCAAGCGUUAUCCGGAAUUAUUGGGCGUAAAGCGCGCGUAGGCGGUUUUUUAAGUCUGAUGUGAAAGCCCACGGCUCAACCGUGGAGGGUCAUUGGAAACUGGGAAACUUGAGUGCAGAAGAGGAAAGUGGAAUUCCAUGUGUAGCGGUGAAAUGCGCAGAGAUAUGGAGGAACACCAGUGGCGAAGGCGACUUUCUGGUCUGUAACUGACGCUGAUGUGCGAAAGCGUGGGGAUCAAACAGGAUUAG
rnacentral:rRNA from 1 species